rnacentral:rRNA from 1 species
CCUACGGGGUGCAGCAGUGGGGAAUAUUGGACAAUGGGCGAAAGCCUGAUCCAGCCAUGCCGCGUGUGUGAAGAAGGCCUUCGGGUUGUAAAGCACUUUCAGUGGGGAAGAAAGCCUUGGGGCUAAUACCCUCGAGGAAGGACAUCACCCACAGAAGAAGCACCGGCUAACUCCGUGCCAGCAGCCGCGGUAAUACGGAGGGUGCGAGCGUUAAUCGGAAUUACUGGGCGUAAAGCGCGCGUAGGCGGUCUGAUAAGCCGGUUGUGAAAGCCCCGGGCUCAACCUGGGAACGGCAUCCGGAACUGGCAGGCUAGAGUGCAGGAGAGGAAGGUAGAAUUCCCGGUGUAGCGGUGAAAUGCGUAGAGAUCGGGAGGAAUACCAGUGGCGAAGGCGGCCUUCUGGACUGACACUGACGCUGAGGUGCGAAAGCGUGGGUAGCAAACAGGAUUAGAUACCCGGGUAGUC